CCCUAACUAGCUUUUCCCCCUGGGUUGUUCUCUCCCUUACAGCAUUCUGCUUUCUGGACUGUAGCUCUUCUGUUCCUCAGAGAUGAGGUCCCCUGGAUGCAAGAGCCUAUGGAAGGAGCCUGCACCCUCUCCGAGGACCCUCUGAAAUAGAGGGCACAACUUGGGCCCAUCCCCAGUGGGGGAAGCUCAUCCAAGGAUUCUUUUAGACAGUGCAGAUAUUCGUAUGUUCUCUGGACUUUAUACCUUCUGAAUAAAGAUGUGUUCUUGGGCCACA